rnacentral:lncRNA from 1 species
UCUUGUUAGGGGUACCAUAUCUUUUCUCAAUUUGGGACCAUAUACUCUGUGCAGUAUCGGAAUACUGCACACUAUCAGCAAUCUGAGGAGACAUGGAAGAGGUCAACCAGGAAAUGACCAUGUUAUUACAUCUAUCCCACAAUCUCUGUUGAGCCACAUUAGUGGUAGGUCGAGGACAUGAGCCGUCAACAAAUCCGAUUUUAUUCUUAGCAGAUAAUGCAACAAUCAUCUUUCGCCUCCAACCCCCAUAACCACUACCCAAGAAGGGAGUGGGGACAAGAGAGACCCUAGGGACAUCAGAGGAAUAUACAAAAGGGGGCUGGUAGAGUCUACCGAGGAGGAGGUACCAGCAGUGGUAUUAGAAGCCAUGAUUAAUGAACCAGCUUGAAAGAAAAAACAGUUUCGACCGAGGAGGAGGUACCAACAGUGGUAUUAGAAGCCAUGAUUAAUGAAUCAGCUUAAAAACAGUGUCGGCAAUCAAAAUAUAACAGAACCAGAUACUCACAUACAGAACCAGAUAAUCACAUACAAAGCAUACAAUAGUCAGAAUAAGGACAAAGUUACCCUCCUUGUUCGCGACCGGAGAAGAUCGGCCUUCAAUCAACAAAGAAAACCCUAGGUCCAACACCGGAAAUCCUAGGUUAUGAAGCUCACCGGAGUAUGGUCAUAGACGCCGGAGAAUCACCCAAAACAUCCAUCAAGCGAAGAAAAAGCCAUCGGAUAACACCAAAACUCUAG